ACGAAGGGGGCUAGCGUUGUUCGGAAUUACUGGGCGUAAAGCGCGCGUAGGCGGGCGUUUAAGUCAGGGGUGAAAUGCCGGGGCUCAACCUCGGAACGGCCUUUGAUACUGGAUGCCUGGAGUUCGGGAGAGGUUGGUGGAAUUCCGAGUGUAGAGGUGAAAUUCGUAGAUAUUCGGAGGAACACCAGAAGCGAAGGCGGCCAACUGGCCCGACACUGACGCUGAGGCGCGAAAGCGUGGGGAGCAAACAGGA
rnacentral:rRNA from 1 species